rnacentral:lncRNA from 1 species
GUGGUGAAAUAUCGUCACAGACUUGUUGCAGUGAUGGAAUCUAUAUGUCAUCGUGUUAUCGUACAUAAAUUAUCGAGUGGUGCCAAAGGGAGGUCGUCGAGUCGUAACAUAAACAAGAAAUUGUAAUUUUAAUUAUUUUUAGAACAGAUUCAGAAUCAUUUUGGAAACGGCCCGUGUGUGCAUGAACAAAAUGCAUAGGAAAUUGGACGAACGUCUGUUCCGAUGCGUUAUCUGUGCUCUUUGUUAAAUAUUUAUUGACAUAUUGACAAUUAAACUUACAGCUGUUUUCCUAACGUAAUAUGUAGGUUGAAGGUUUGGUUGGCUUACUUGCUUUG